rnacentral:rRNA from 1 species
AACGGUCCUAAGGUAGCGAAAUUCCUUGUCGGGUAAGUUCCGACCCGCACGAAAGGCGUAACGAUUUGGGCACUGUCUCAACAACAGACUCGGUGAAAUUGUAAUUCCGGUGAAGAUGCCGGAUACCUGCGACAGGACGGAAAGACCCCAUGGAGCUUUACUGUAGCUUGACAUUGGGUCUUGGUACUACAUGUACAGGAUAGGUGGGAGGCUUUGA